CCAGGGAACUGAAACAUCUAAGUACCUGGAGGAAGAGAAAGAAAAAUCGAUUUUCUUAGUAGCGGCGAGCGAAAGGGAAAGAGCCCAAACCAAAGAUUUAUCUUUGGGGUUGCGGACAGAACAUUAAUGAGAAAUUAUGGUUAACCGAACACAACUGGAAAGUUGGACCGUAGGGGGUAAUAGUCCUGUAGGUGAAAAUUAUAAUGAUCAAGUUCUGAUCCAGAGUACCACGAGACACGUGAAACCUUGUGGGAAGCAGGGAGGAC
rnacentral:rRNA from 1 species